AUUCCAGCUCCAAUAGCGUAUAUUAAAGUUGUUGCGGUUAAAAAGCUCGUAGUUGGAUUUCUGCCGAGGACGACCGGUCCGCCCUCUGGGUGAGUAUCUGGCUCGGCCUGGGCAUCUUCUUGGAGAACGUAUCUGCACUUGACUGUGUGGUGCGGUAUCCAGGACUUUUACUUUGAGGAAAUUAGAGUGUUUCAAGCAGGCUUACGCCUUGAAUACAUUAGCAUGGAAUAAUAAGAUAGGACCUCGGUUCUAUUUUGUUGGUUUCUAGAGCUGAGGUAAUGAUUAAUAGGGAUAGUUGGGGGCAUUCGUAUUUAACUGUCGGAGGUGAAAUUCUUGGAUUUAUGGAAGACAAACUAAUGCGAAAGCAUCUACCAAGGAUGUUUUCAUUA
rnacentral:rRNA from 1 species